AAAUAUAAAAAGGGGAGCUUGCGUAUCAAGCAGGCUGAGAACAGGCUGAAUCGCCUGGACCCGUAGACCUGAUUUGGAUAAUGCCAACGUAGGGAGCGGUAUGAUGGAUUUAU
rnacentral:ncRNA from 2 species